ensembl:lncRNA
CCCCUGAGUUGGUGAUGGACAGGGAGGCCUGUCGCGCUGCAGUUCAUGGGGUCUCAAAGAGUUGGAUACAACUGAGCGAAUGAACUGAACUGAACUGAAGUUGGUCAUAGCUUUUCUUCCAAGGAGCAAGUGUCUUUUAAUUCCAUGGCUACGGUCACCAUCUGCAGUGAUUUUGGAUCCCCCAAAAAUAAAGUCUGACAGUGUUUCUAUUGUUUUCCCAUCUGUUUGCCAUGAAGUGAUGGGACCAGAUGCCAUGAUUUUAGUUUUCUGAAUGUUGAGUUUUAAGCCAACUUUUUCACUCUCCUCUUUCACUUUCAUCAGGAGGCUCUUUAAUUCUUCUUCACUUUCUGUCAUAAGGAUGGGGUCAUCUGCAUAUCUGAGGUUAUUGAUAUUUCUCCUGGCAAUCUUGAUUCCAGCUUGUGCUUCAUCCAGCCCAGCAUUUCUCAUGAUGUACUCUGCAUAUAAGCUAAAUAAGCAGGGUGACAAUAUACAACCUUGAGGCACUCCUUUCCCAAUUUCGAACCAGUCUGUUGUUCCAUAUCCUGUUCUAACUGUCGCUUCUUGACCUGCCUACAGAUUUCUCAGGAGGCAGGUCAGGUGUUCUGGUAUUCCCAACUGUUUAAACUUUCCACAGUUUGUUGUGAUCCACAACGUGUAUAGGUGGCGGGGUGGGGUGGGGGGGAGCGGGGGUGGUAGUAAAUAAAAGACCAUAUGGAAAGGCAGGAAGAAGAUGAGCUGGGAUACGUUGCCGCAGGAGGUAGCCCAGAGGAUGGCAGAAUCAGGCCCGAAAGGCUCCUCCCAGAAGCCCAUUCCCCAGCAGAAGCCAAGUCUCACAGGAUCUCGCGGGUUUGUAAGAGGUUGGCAAGAGGUUCCUGAAAGGGGAAACACCUGGGUGCCUCACUCAGAAUGGAGUUUGGUUCCCAUCGUCUACCCGGCCAAAGCCGCUCCUGGGGCUGCCUCCCCUCUUGCCGUUCUUCGUGAGUCUGUCUGUGUGGCGGCCUGUUCGUCCCAGCUGCACCCUCAGCUCUUAAGGACCCAGCUCAGGCCUGUGGCUGUGCAGGGGCUGGAGCACCCAAGGCCCGAGUGGGAGAGGGAACUGCUCGUGCUUGUGCUGCAAGUGCAUCAAGUUCUGAGAGGCCGAGGGGCCACGCCAGGAACCCAAGCUUCUGCUGUGGGCCACUGGGGCCCCAUCUAACGUCUGCAAGGUGCAGGACUGCACCAGGUCCAGGUGCGAGCCCUGCCAUCGCACCGAGCUUGUUUGUUUCUCUGCGCUGCGCCCGGAAGCAGUGAGGGGCCUAGGAGUCCUCCCCGGAGACCACGACCACCUGUUCCCAGAGACUUUCCCGGAAGAACAGCCUCAGGACCUCAGUGGAUUUGAUGAUGGCCACGUGCAUUGGGAAGGAUGAUCUGUGUCACCGAGUCCACGGAUUCAAACACUCAUCUCAUUUGGAGAUAGCCCACAGACACAUCAGAACUGCUUUUAAUCUCCAGGGAAGAUCCCCUGGAGCAGGGCAUGGCAACCCACUCAGGAGCCUGGCGGGCUACAGUCCAUGGGGUCGCAAAGAGUCAGACAUGACUGAGUGACUAAGCACCCCAUGACCAGUGAAGUUGACAUUAACCAUCGCAACCAUGUUGUUCUUCCAGUUUCACUCUUGUGUCCACACCCCAGGCUAAUGCAGGACAACUUGUUCAGUGGCCACUUUUCACUGUUCAGAAUGAAGUAAAGGGGUAACCUUCGCCCUACCCUGCCUCCUGCGACCUCUACAGGAGACCUCAGUUGGAUCACUCAAAUGCUGACAUUCAACCAUUUUUUUGAGCUAAGAAUAACAGCAAUUCCAUAUGGUUCAAGCCACGCGUCAACGGAUGGAAUCCCCUGAAGAGAUGGAGAGUGACGCGUAGGGCCCCCAAUGUCCCCUGACCCUGUCACAUUUCACAUUCAGAAGGUCUGGGAAAUUGCUGGCAAAGGAUGUUUUAACAGAGCCUGGAGGAAAAUGGAACAAGCCGAAUGCUGUCAGAAUUGCUGAUGCGAGCAGCGCAGGGUCUGUAAGAGAGUUGGUGCAUUGACCCUCGGCUCCAUGAGCCGCAAGACCUCCCUGCAUGUGCCCCGUGGCCUGGGGGUAUUCAGGUGGGAAGAAGGCCCUCCAGCGCCAUCCAGGAGGCCUGGCUUCCCCUCGGGGUGGAGGUCAGCCUCUCAAGCUAGACAGCAAGUUGGAGCAGGGUGCAGAGUGAAGCCAGAGGAGCCAGUGAACACCCCGUUCCUGUUUCUAAAGACAGUGAGAAUGCAGGCUUCGAGUUCAAUUGACUUGCCCAAGGUUAAGGACAAUGAUAAGAAACCAAGUCCUCCGGUCCCGCUUCAGCCCUCUUUCCAUCGUGCUUUUUCAUCGUUCUAGUCCGAGGACAGUUCUUGAUUCAGAAAUGCUAAGGUUUUUGUGUAUGGCUGAGUCCCUUCACCUGAAACUGUCACAACAUGGUUAAUUGGCUAUGUGCUCAGUUGCUUUAGCUGUGUCUGACUCAUUGCGACCCUGUGGACUAUAGCCC